UAAUGUCUGGGAAACUGCCUGAUGGAGGGGGAGUAACUACUGGAAACGGUAGCUAAUACCGCAUAACGUCGCAAGACCAAAGAGGGGGACCUUCGGGCCUCUUGCCAUCGGAUGUGCCCAGAUGGGAUUAGCUAGUAGGUGGGGUAAAGGCUCACCUAGGCGACGAUCCCUAGCUGGUCUGAGAGGAUGACCAGCCACACCGGAACUGAGACACGGUCCAGACUCCUACGGGAGGCAGCAUG
rnacentral:rRNA from 1 species